UACAGAGGGGGCAAGCGUUAUUCGGAAUUAUUGGGCGUAAAGGGCGCGUAGGCGGCUUUGCAAGUGGCGGGCGAAAUCCCUCGGCUUAACCGAGGAACUGCCUGCCAGACUGCAAGGCUCGAGACCGGGAGAGGUGAGUGGAAUUCCCAGUGUAGCGGUGAAAUGCGUAGAUAUUGGGAGGAACACCAGUGGCGAAGGCGGCUCACUGGACCGGAACUGACGCUGAGGCGCGAAAGCGUGGGGAGCAAACAGG
rnacentral:rRNA from 1 species